CAACAGGGAUUGCCCCAGUAACGGCGAGUGAAGCGGCAACAGCUCAAAUUUGAAAUCUGGCUCUCGGGCCCGAGUUGUAAUUUGUAGAGGAUGCUUUUGGUGAGGUGCCUUCCGAGUUCCCUGGAACGGGACGCCAUAGAGGGUGAGAGCCCCGUCUGGUUGGACGCCGAACCUCUGUAAAGCUCCUUCGACGAGUCGAGUAGUUUGGGAAUGCUGCUCUAAAUGGGAGGUAUAUGUCUUCUAAAGCUAAAUACCGGCCAGAGACCGAUAGCGCACAAGUAGAGUGAUCGAAAGAUGAAAAGAACUUUGAAAAGAGAGUUAAACAGUACGUGAAAUUGUUGAAAGGGAAGCGCUUGUGACCAGACUUGGGCUUGGUUGAUCAUCCGGGGUUCUCCCCGGUGCACUCUUCCGGCCUAGGCCAGCAUCAGUUCGCCCUGGGGGAUAAAGGCUUCGGGAACGUGGCUCUCUCCGGGGAGUGUUAU
rnacentral:rRNA from 4 species